UGUUCUCCAGCUCAUUCCCUUUACAUGGCGGAGCCAGAGCCAAUGCAGCAGCCCAGAGGUGCCGGAAUGUCUUUCAUCCCUGGGAAGAUAGAGAAGAUAAGGAGCAUUUUGCCCUUUGCUGAGUGCAAGGACAGAGCUGAGUCAUCUCCGAUUUUCCAUCCCCUUCACACUUGAUUUUUCAUGGGAAUCAUAAGGUGGCUGAAAGAAUUCUUCUUGGAACCCAUAGCUUUUCAUCUCUACUGCUGGGAAAGAGAAGGAAAAAAGGAAAUGCAGGCUUUGGGUUUGAGGCACCAGGAGGGACCGAGAGAAUGCCUUGCCCAUAGUUCUUGCCCAGAAGGACUGUAUGGGCUUCCUAGGGAGACAAACAUCAGCUGUAAAAUGAUCAGGAAACAUAAACAAGACAAUAAUGGCAAUAAAAGAGCUGAUCUUCUAUA